rnacentral:lncRNA from 1 species
CUGGCCUCUGAGCUUCUUCUCAGAAACUUCAGCUGACCACAGGCAAUUGAGUGGGCCUUGAAGGAAAGAAUGUGGAACUGAAUCUGUUAUCUGGCAGCCACCUGGGAGACUGGCAGGGCAGAGACGGUUCUGACUGUGGUGAUUAGGAAACAGGGCCGCGUGGAUGCACCUGCAGACUGGGUCACCAGAAAAGAUACAGAUCACUGGAGUGUGUGAGACCAAACUGGAAUCCAUGGGGCACGUGACAUCCUCGAAAGAGUAAAGGCAGGUGGGGUGAGUUAGAGUGGUUGCAGUAAUAGUGGCACACACGCUGUGCCACGGGGAGUGAGCUGGAGGUGCCCAGGGCUGGGGCCGCCCUAUAAUGCCAGCUGGAACACACCUUGCUGUUGCUUAACUAAGAGUGAGCCUCUCUUAUCGCUCCUCCUGCAACGUUAACUACCAUAAACUGUUAGCAGUUGUUACAACCGCCUCUGCCCCAAGAUACCUUGGCUCCACUCCCACCUGUUCUCUGAGAAGCUGCAAUACAAAUUAACUCAUCAAAAAAGGUCAAGACAUCCAGUUAGUUUGGAAUAAAGGGAGAAGAAGAGGAGGGAAGUAGAACUGACUGUUGGAGGAGGGGGCAGAGGAGUGGAUUGGAAAAGGAUAAAUACUGUUUUUUACAAUUGUAAACAAGUUAUUUAUAAUAUUAUAAUAAAGGAUAUGUUUUAUUAAAAAUACAGCAGAUUAUUUCAAGGUAGGCUAAACUAGUACUACACACACUGUGUCCCUGGGACAGGACCUGGUCCAUGAACUGUUGGUUACCAGUCUGAGAAGAAGUAAGUAGAGAAGUUAAGAGAAAUUCUUUAGAAAGUUUUGUAGCAAUUGGACAGCACAAUUUUCUGUCUGUUGUGAAAGGAAAAUAAAUCUUGGGACUCCAAAAUCACCAAGCUAAAGGGAAAAAUCAAGCUGGGAACUGCUUAGGCCAAACCUGCUUCCUGUUCUAUUCAAAGUUAUCCCCCUGAGGCUCACCUAAGACAAAUGCAUAUCUGAUUGCUUCCCCUGCCCUAUUUAUUUAUUUAUUUAUUUAUUUAUUUAUUUAUUUAUUUAUUUUUGCGAUGGAGUUUCACUCUUCUUACCCAGGCUGGAGUGCAAUGGCCUGGUCUCGGCUCACCGCAACCUCCACCUCCUGGGUUCAAGC